rnacentral:lncRNA from 1 species
GCAUUUCUGGAAUUAAAAUAUCUUUCGUGUUUUAACAUUUGCUACAAGAUUUCCAGACAGUGCCUGAUAUAUGGGAACAACAGGAUACCAGUGCUUCAGAAUGGAAAUGUGACUACUUUAGAUGAGAUGCCAAGUUCAUUUAAUCAUUUAGAGGAAGCCAGCUAUGGUGGUGAGAGAAUAGCCCCCUGGAGAGGUCUAUG